UACGUAGGGUGCGAGCGUUGUCCGGAAUUAUUGGGCGUAAAGAGCUUGCAGGCGGUCUGUCGCGUCUGCUGUGAAAAUCCGGGGCUCAACCCCGGACUUGCAGUGGGUACGGGCAGACUAGAGUGUGGUAGGGGAGACUGGAAUUCCUGGUGUAGCGGUGAAAUGCGCAGAUAUCAGGAGGAACACCGAUGGCGAAGGCAGGUCUCUGGGCCACUACUGACGCUGAGAAGCGAAAGCAUGGGGAGCGAACAGG
rnacentral:rRNA from 1 species